UUACUAGAGUAGCACUCGCAUAUCAAUAAGCGGAGGAAAAGAAACUAACAAGGAUUCCCCUAGUAACGGCGAGUGAAGCGGGAAGAGCUCAAAUUUGAAAUCUUAAAGGGUUUCCCUUUACGAAUUGUAGUUUAAAGAAGUGUUUUCUGUUGAGGUUUUGGUAAAAGUUCUUUGGAAUAGGACAUCAUAGAGGGUGAGAAUCCCGUAUUUGACCUUUACUUUCAACUUUGUGAUACACUUUCAAAGAGUCGGAUUGUUUGGGAAUGCAGUCCAAAAUGGGUGGUAAAUUUCAUCUAAAGCUAAAUAUUGGCGAGAGACCGAUAGCGAACAAGUACCGUGAGGGAAAGAUGAAAAGAACUUUGAAAAGAGAGUUAAACAGUACGUGAAAUUGUCAAAAGGGAAGCGUUUGACACCAGUGUUGUUUUUCUGAAAAUCAAUUAAAGAACUGUUUAUGCUAAGUUGUUUAGACUUUAUCAGCUAUCUGUUUAGUUUUGAGCUUUUCUUUAAUGCACUUUUCAGUUAACAGGUCAACAUCAAUUUCUUUUGCUGUAAAAAAGCUUGAGGAAGGUGGCUUGAGAUUCGUCUUAAGUGUUUAUAGCCUCUUGCCUAUGCAGUCGGAGAGAUUGAGGUCUGCAGCGUAGAUCCUUCGGGGCUAAAUGCAUUUGUGCUAAGUUAUAGCAUUUUAUAGACAACUUGUUGACUAUGAUUUGUCUUGUAGCUUACUCGCUUAUGUUAUUUUACCUACGCUUAGGAUGUUGAUCUCUCACAGUCGAGC
rnacentral:rRNA from 1 species